rnacentral:rRNA from 1 species
UACAGAGGAUGCAAGCGUUAUCCGGAAUGAUUGGGCGUAAAGCGUCUGUAGGUGGCUUUUUAAGUCCGCCGUCAAAUCCCAGGGCUCAACUCUGGACAGGCGGUGGAAACUACCAAGCUGGAGUACGGUAGGGGCAGAGGGAAUUUCCGGUGGAGCGGUGAAAUGCGUAGAUAUCAGGAGGAACACCUGCGGUGUAGACGGCUUUCUGGACCAUUGCUGACGCUGAGACACGAAAGCGUGGGUAGCAAACAGG